rnacentral:misc_RNA from 1 species
GACAAGUUACUGUAAUGCAUAUCCUUCAAUACAAUAGAAAACAAAAGAAAAAAAAGGGCAGCCCGGUGAAUUAAAGCUCCUGCUAUGAAUCGAUGCCAUGUAAACUAAAUCUUGCUACUGUAAAGCACUAUGAAUCUAUAAUACAGUGAGAAAAAAUACGCGUCCUGGCAAUCCUCUUCUUGAACAGCUUUCAUUGACGAAGUUCAGAAUAUGUGACAGAAACAUAAGAAUGUUUGCUAGAUCCAGCUUUCACAGGACCUCGCAACGGACAGUAAUACUAAACCUUGCAAUCUGACAUAGAUCAGCAAAUCCAGCAUUUGGUUCCCGGUCUUAGAACUUGGCAUAGGUUGAGAGAAAUUGGUGUCACACGCAUAAUAUUGACUAGAAGUCGAGGUUCCCGGUCUUAGAACUUCCAGAACAAGCACCAGAAGUACCAUAUGAACUACCACUUGAGCCAUCAACUGGGGCUUGAUUAAGGCAUUCUAAAACCAAUGCUCUUCGCUUUCGCAGCUUCAUUGAGAAUGUUGUUGCUUCCAAAAUUGCAGGGACCUGUGUAUUUAUGCGAGCUACUUUGUGUACACUCAGAAGGCCCAGCAUGUCUUGGUAACCAGUUAGGAGUUUCGCCAAUUCUUUGUCCUCAUCAGGAAUUGCUUUGACAGAUAUCAAGGUAUCAGCCAGAUGCUGCCACCUCUUUAAAAAGGCUGGCGAG